rnacentral:rRNA from 1 species
UGUAUAAUGGGUCAGCGACUUAUAUUCAGUGGCAAGGUUAACCAUUUAGGGGAGCCGUAGGGAAACCGAGUCUUAACUGGGCGUUCAGUCUCUGGAUAUAGACCCGAAACCGGGUGAUCUAGCCAUGGGCAGGUUGAAGGUUGAGUAACAUCAACUGGAGGACCGAACCGACUAAUGUUGAAAAAUUAGCGGAUGACUUGUGGCUAGGGGUGAAAGGCCAAUCAAACUCGGAGAUAGCUGGUUCUCCCCGAAAGCUAUUUAGGUAGCGCCUCGGACGAAUACUACUGGGGGUAGAGCACUGUUAAGGCUAGGGGGUCAUCCCGACUUACCAACCCUUUGCAAACUCCGAAUACCAGUAAGUACUAUCCGGGAGACACACGGCGGGUGCUAACGUCCGUCGUGGAGAGGGAAACAACCCAGACCGCCAGCUAAGGUCCCAAAUUACAGCUAAGUGGGAAACGAUGUGGGAAGGCUCAGACAGCUAGGAUGUUGGCUUAGAAGCAGCCAUCAUUUAAAGAAAGCGUAAUAGCUCACUAGUCGAGUCGGCCUGCGCGGAAGAUGUAACGGGGCUAAGCU